rnacentral:rRNA from 1 species
GGGUCAGUAGGUUGGUCGUGCCACCGGUACGUACUGGUCUCACUGAUUCCUCCUUCCUGAAGAACCGUAAUGCCAUUAAUUUGGUGUUGCGGGGAAACAGGACUGUUACUUUGAAAAAAUUAGAGUGUUUAAAGCAAGCUAACGCUUGAAUACAUUAGCAUGGAAUAAUGAAAUAGGACGAUCGAUCCUAUUUUGUUGGUUUCUAGGAUUGACGUAAUGAUUAAAGGGAUAGUGGG